rnacentral:rRNA from 1 species
AUUGAACGCUGGCGGCAGGCCUAACACAUGCAAGUCGAGCGGAGCGGCAGACGGGUGAGUAAUGCCUAGGUAUCUGCCUGGUAGUGGGGGAGAAAGUCCGGAAACGGACGCUAAUGCCGAAUACUAUCAGCUGCGCCUAGGUCGAAUUAGCUAGUUGGUGGGGUAAAGGCCGACAAAGGCGACGAUCCGUACCUGGUCUGAGAGGAUGAUCAGUCACACUGGAACUGAGACACGGUCCAGACUCCUACGGGAGGCAGCAGUGGGGAAUAUUGGACAAUGGGCGAAAGCCUGAUGCAGCCAUGCCGCGUGUGUGAAGAAGGUCUUCGGAUUGUAAAGCACUUUAAGUUGGGAGGCGUUACCAACAGAAGAAGCACCGGCUAACUCCGUGCCAGCAGCCGCGGUAAUAC